AAAGGUGGCUGAGAUUUAGGCAUUAGAUUGUAAAUCUAACUACGGUAUUUACCUCUUU
rnacentral:tRNA from 1 species